CCGAAUGUGCAACGAUAUAUUUUUCAAAGUUGUUAUGAAUUCCUAAAAUUUGUUUAUAGUAAAACGGCCUGCUCAGCACUCACUACUCACGAUGAUUUCAUUUAGAAAUGCAGUUAUCAGGAAAGGAACUGAUUCUAAAAUAUGUAAAUUUAAAAGCAUUGGCUAACAGAAUGAAGCGAUGUGAAGACAAGGUACAAACUUUUAUAGUUGCUAUUUGUUAUAAAAUCCUAUAAAUAAACCGAUUCAACAAUCAUUUUGCCUCGAAUUUGCAUAUUCUAUGCUGCAUGUCAGAGGCUGCAUGUUUAUAUUUUAUUUUUAUAGUACAAAAAUAAAAUUAUAAUACUAUGAAAUAAAAUACAUUUCUGUUUAUUGACCAGUACUUAUUUAAUGUCUUCUUCAUCCAGCGGUCAUAGUAAAUUUCUACUUCUAGCCAGUAAAUAUUUGACAAGCAGUCUGGAAUAAGCACAGGACUUUUAAUUCAUCAGCCAAAUCCAAGUGUGCCCAUCCCCCUCGCCCAGCCAUUUUCCUGUAAAAC